GUACACUCCUGCGGGAGGCAGCAGUGGGGAAUUUUGGACAAUGGGCGAAAGCCUGAUCCAGCAAUGCCGCGUGAGUGAAGAAGGCCUUCGGGUUGUAAAGCUCUUUUGUCAGGGAAGAAACGGUGAAAGCUAAUAUCUUUUGCUAAUGACGGUACCUGAAGAAUAAGCACCGGCUAACUACGUGCCAGCAGCCGCGGUAAUACGUAGGGUGCAAGCGUUAAUCGGAAUUACUGGGCGUAAAGCGUGCGCAGGCGGUUUUGUAAGUCUGAUGUGAAAUCCCCGGGCUCAACCUGGGAAUUGCAUUGGAGACUGCAAGGCUAGAAUCUGGCAGAGGGGGGUAGAAUUCCACGUGUAGCAGUGAAAUGCGUAGAUAUGUGGAGGAACACCGAUGGCGAAGGCAGCCCCCUGGGUCAAGAUUGACGCUCAUGCACGAAAGCGUGGGGAGCAAACAGGAUUAGAAACCCUAGUAGUCCCAUGAU
rnacentral:rRNA from 1 species